UACGAAGGGGGCUAGCGUUGUUCGGAAUUACUGGGCGUAAAGCGCGCGCAGGCGGUCCUUUAAGUCAGGGGUGAAAGCCCAGAGCUCAACUCUGGAACUGCCUUUGAAACUAGAGGACUUGGGUACGGGAGAGGUGAGUGGAAUUCCGAGUGUAGAGGUGAAAUUCGUAGAUAUUAGGAAGAACACCGGUGGCGAAGGCGGCCCACUGGAUCGGUACUGACGCUGAGGUGCGAAAGCGUGGGGAGCAAACAGG
rnacentral:rRNA from 1 species